AUGAACAGAAUCAAAUUCUAGAACAUCAGAGUUGGGUGGGUUCUAACUCAAGGCUUUGUCCAUGAAGCUGUGUUAGAAGGGACAGUGGUCCCUGAGACUUCACUGAGGAGCUGGAGGACUUUGGAGGACAGCUGGAUGCAUGAUCCAGUCCCACCCUCUCAUUUGACAGGACUGAAAACUAAGCCCCUGCGAUUUUGACCAGUCAGCUGAUUCCCCACAGGACCCUAAAACGAUGCAGUAAUCAGUGCAGAGGGCAACACAGGACAGCCCCUGAGAAUUUCUUGUCACCACUGGGGGAAGCAUUUCCUAGCAACCUCCAGCCGACUUCCCCUGACCUCCCUGGCAAGAAGUGUGUCUUAUGCCCAUGACUGAACCAACCACUGGCAAGAGAAACCAGAGCUCCCCGUUAGGUUCAGAUUGACUGGAAUUCACCCCUGAGCUUUGAGGGAGUGGGUCUCUGUGAAAGUGCCUAUCUGGUGCUCAAACGCUGGAGUUGUGUGAGCCAGGAUGACAGGUGGUCACUGUGGUACCUGCUGCAGUUUCCUCUUGCCAGGGAGCAUUCCUGGCAUUGACAUCAAGAUAGAGCCAGGAGAUACAAAGCUCUUUCCUUCAGCCAGCUCUGCUGAUGUGAGGAGCAGGAUAAACAUGACGAUGACCACAGCAAGAAAAAUCCAUUCUCAAGCACUCACCACUCAGCUCAUAGAAGCCAAGCCCUUGGCUAAUGCUUGACACAGGACAGAGGAUGCUGUGGUUAAGUCAGCAAGGCACAACAAUUACGGACGUGCU